rnacentral:rRNA from 1 species
AUGCAUUCCGUCGCAGCUCUCCUCCAGCUGUUUUGCCUCCUCUUGUCACUUCAUCAGAGCCCAUGCUCCGGUGCAGCGGCCACGCCGGGCAACUUCUCCGCCUGCCUCGUCUCCAACGGCGUCACCAACUUCUCCCUGCCCACGUCUCCGAGCUACGCCGGGCUGCUCAACUCCUCCAUCUUCAACCUCCGGUUCAAUCUCCCGAGCGUCCCCGGGCCUGCCGCCGUUGUCCUGCCGGAGUCGAGGGAUGAACUGAGGCGAGCCAUCCUGUGCGCGCGCGCCAGCUCGCUGGCGAUCCGCGUGCGCAGCGGCGGGCACAGCUACGAGGGGCUGUCCUACACCACUGAGAACCACGUGCCGUUCGUGGUGAUCGACCUCGCGAACCUGAACCGCGUGCGGGUCGAGCCGGGCUCGGCCACGGCCUGGGCCGAGUCGGGAGCGACGGUGGGCGAGCUGUACUACGCCGUGGGGCAAUCGAGCCAGUCCCUGGCGUUCCCCGCCGGGUCGGAGUCGACCACUGGUCUAGGGGGGCAGGUCUCCGGCGGCGGGUUCGGGCUUCUGUCCCGGAAGUUUGCGCUCGCCGCCGACAACGUGCUGGACGCGGCUCUCAUCACUCCGGACGGCAGGGUCCUUGACCGGAGUUCUAUGGGCGACGACGUGUUCUGGACGAUCCGAGGCGGCGGAGGCGGGAGCUGGGGUGUGGUGUACGCUUGGAAGCUCCGGCUCGUUCCGGUCCCUCGCAACGUCACCGCGUUCACCGUCGGCCGGACCGGUCCGGUCGAACUCAUUGCCGGGUUGCUUCACAGGUGGCAGUAUGUCGGGCCCAAUCUACCGGACGAGUUUUAUCUCUCCGUGUAUGCUCCUACCGGGUCGACGGACGGCAACGUCUCCAUCUCCUUUACCGGUCAAGUGCUGGAGUCAAAAGAGCGCGCCUUGUCGGUUAUCAGCCAGAGCUUUCCUGAGCUGGGUUUGACCGAGGUAGACCUCUCAGAAAUGAGCUGGGUCGAGUCGACGGCCAAGUUCGCCGGUCUGAACACGGUGGAGGACCUGGCGAACCGGCGGCGCCAGCCAAAGCAGUACUCCAAGAGCAAGUCCGACUACGUGCAGGCACCGAUCUCGAGGCACGACAUGGUCGAGAUCUUCCGGCACCUGUCGACCGGGCCGACGGGGUCCAUCCAGCUCGACCCCUACGGCGGCGCCAUGGCGCGGGUCGGGAGCGCCGAGACGCCGUUCCCCCACCGCGCCGGGAACCUGUACAGUAUCCAGUACGGUGUGAACUGGGACCGGUCGGAGGUGGCCCGCGCGGAGGAGUUCAUCGGAUGGCUCAGGUCGUUCUACAAGUUCAUGGCCCCCUUGGUGUCCAAGGAUCCCCGCGCUGCCUACGUGAACUACCUCGACCUCGACCUGGGCGUGAACAACUGGACGCGCGCUGCCGGUGGGUCGUCCGCUCAGGCGGUUUCUCGUGCGAGGUCGUCGUGGGGGGAGGCGUACUUCGGAGAGAACUUCGACCGGCUGGUUCGUGCUAAGACGGUGGUCGAUCCUGGCAACGUGUUCAACAACGCGCAGAGCAUCCCUCCCUUGAACAUUAGAGCUGAGGGGCAGACAUGA